UACGAAGGGGGCUAGCGUUACUCGGAAUUACUGGGCGUAAAGGGCGCGUAGGCGGCAUGACAAGUUGGACGUGAAAUUCCUGGGCCCAACCGGGGGACUGCGUUCAAGACUGUUGAGCUAGAGGAUGGAAGAGGGUCGUGGAAUUCCCAGUGUAGAGGUGAAAUUCGUAGAUAUUGGGAAGAACACCGGUGGCGAAGGCGGCGACCUGGUCCAUUACUGACGCUGAGGCGCGACAGCGUGGGGAGCAAACAGG
rnacentral:rRNA from 1 species